rnacentral:rRNA from 1 species
GAUGAACGCUGGUGGCGUGCCUAACACAUGCAAGUCGAGCGAUUCUCUUCGGAGAAGAGCGGCGGACGGGUGCGUAACGCGUGGGUAACCUGCCCUGUACACACUGAUAACAUACCGAAAGGUAUUCUAAUACGAGAUAACAUGCUUUUAUCGCAUUGUAGAAGUAUCAAAGCUUUUGCGGUACAGGAUGGACCCGCGUCUGAUUAGCUAGUUGGUGAGGUAACGGCUCACCAAGGCGACGAUCAGUAGCCGACCUGAGAGGGUGAUCGGCCACAUUGGAACUGAGACACGGUCCAAACUCCUACGGGAGGCAGCAGUGGGGAAUAUUGCACAAUGGGCGAAAGCCUGAUGCAGCAACGCCGCGUGAGCGAUGAAGGCCUGCGGGUAGUAAAGCUCUGUCAUCAAGGAAGAUAAUGACGGUACUUGAGGAGGAAGCCCCGGCUAACUACGUG